rnacentral:rRNA from 1 species
GACGAACGCUGGCGGCGCGCUUAACACAUGCAAGUCGAGCGAGAACCAGGCCUUCGGGCCUGGGGACAGCGGCGAACGGGUGAGUAACACGUGGGUAAUCAACCCUCGGUACUGGGAUAGCCCGGGGAAACCCGGAUUAAUACCGGAUGGCCCUUCGGAUCUUCGGUUCUGAAGGAAAAGGUAGCUUCGGCCUCCGACCGAGGCCGAGCCCGCGGCGGGUUAGCUUGUUGGUGGGGUAACGGCCUACCAAGGCGGCGAUCCGUAGCUGGUCUGAGAGGACGAUCAGCCACACUGGGACUGAGACACGGCCCAGACUCCUACGGGAGGCAGCAGUGGGGAAUCUUGCGCUAAUGCGGGAAACCGUGACGCAGCGACGCCGCGUGAGGGAAGAAGGCCUUCGGGUUGUAAACCUCUUUCAGGAGGGACGAAGCUACUCGGGUUAAUAGCCUAGAGGGUGACGGUACCUCCAGAAGAAGCCCCGGCUAACUACGUGCCAGCAGCCGCCGUAACAC